rnacentral:rRNA from 1 species
UAUGAGAGUUUGAUCCUGGCUCAGGACGAACGCUGGCGGCGUGCCUAAUACAUGCAAGUCGAACGCUUCUUUCCUCCCGAGUGCUUGCACUCAAUUGGAAAGAGGAGUGGCGGACGGGUGAGUAACACGUGGGUAACCUACCCAUCAGAGGGGGAUAACACUUGGAAACAGGUGCUAAUACCGCAUAACAGUUUAUGCCGCAUGGCAUAAGAGUGAAAGGCGCUUUCGGGUGUCGCUGAUGGAUGGACCCGCGGUGCAUUAGCUAGUUGGUGAGGUAACGGCUCACCAAGGCCACGAU